UACGUAGGGAGCAAGCGUUGUCCGGAAUCAUUGGGCGUAAAGCGCGCGUAGGUGGCCACAUAGGUCCGUUGUGAAAGUCAAAGGCUCAACCUUUGAAAGCCGAUGGAUACUGUGUGGCUAGAGUACGGAAGAGGCGAGUGGAAUUCCUGGUGUAGCGGUGGAAUGCGCAGAUAUCAGGAGGAACACCAAUAGCGAAGGCAGCUCGCUGGGACGUUACUGACACUGAGGCGCGAAAGCGUGGGGAGCGAACAGG
rnacentral:rRNA from 1 species